rnacentral:rRNA from 1 species
UAGAGUUUGAUCCUGGCUCAGGAUGAACGCUAGCUACAGGCUUAACACAUGCAAGUCGAGGGGCAGCGGGAUUGAAGCUUGCUUCAAUUGCCGGCGACCGGCGCACGGGUGAGUAACGCGUAUCCAACCUUCCGUACACUCAGGGAUAGCCUUUCGAAAGAAAGAUUAAUGCCUGAUGGUAUGAUGAGAUUGCAUGAUAGCAUCAUUAAAGAUUUAUCGGUGUACGAUGGGGAUGCGUUCCAUUAGGUAGUAGGCGGGGUAACGGCCCACCUAGCCAACGAUGGAUAGGGGUUCUGAGAGGAAGGUCCCCCACAUUGGAACUGAGACACGGUCCAAACUCCUACGGGAGGCAGCAGUGAGGAAUAUUGGUCAAUGGACGCGAGUCUGAACCAGCCAAGUAGCGUGAAGGAUGACUGCCCUAUGGGUUGUAAACUUCUUUUAUAUGGGAAUAAAGUGGUCCACGUGUGGAUUUUUGUAUGUACCAUAUGAAUAAGGAUCGGCUAACUCCGUGCCAGCAGCCGCGGUAAUACGGAGGAUCCGAGCGUUAUCCGGAUUUAUUGGGUUUAAAGGGAGCGUAGGCGGAUUGUUAAGUCAGUUGUGAAAGUUUGCGGCUCAACCGUAAAAUUGCAGUUGAUACUGGCAGUCUUGAGUGCAGUAGGGGUGGGCGGAAUUCGUGGUGUAGCGGUGAAAUGCUUAGAUAUCACGAAGAACUCCGAUUGCGAAGGCAGCUCACUGGAGUGUAACUGACGCUGAUGCUCGAAAGUGUGGGUAUCAAACAGGAUUAGAUACCCUGGUAGUCCACACAGUAAACGAUGAAUACUCGCUGUUUGCGAUAUACAGUAAGCGGCCAAGCGAAAGCAUUAAGUAUUCCACCUGGGGAGUACGCCGGCAACGGUGAAACUCAAA